rnacentral:tRNA from 1 species
ACCAGGAUAGCUUAAUUGAAAAGCUUUGAUUUUGUAAUUCAAGGAUAAUGAAAAUUUCCUGGUA